AUUAGCUAGUUGGUAGGGUAAAGGCCUACCAAGGCGACGAUCUAUAGCUGGUCUGAGAGGACGAUCAGCCACACUGGGACUGAGACACGGCCCAGACUCCUACGGGAGGCAGCAGUGGGGAAUAUUGGACAAUGGGCGCAAGCCUGAUCCAGCAAUACCGCGUGUGUGAAGAAGGCCCUAGGGUUGUGAAGCACUUUCAAUGGGGAGGAAAACGGCUAACUCCGUGCCAGCAGCCGCGGUAAUACGGAGGGUGCGAGCGUUAAUCGGAAUUACUGGGCGUAAAGCGUGCGUAGGCGGCUCGUUAAGUCAGAUGUGAAAGCCCUGGGCUCAACCUGGGAACUGCAUUUGAAACUGGCGAGCUAGAGUUGAGUAGAGGGGAGUGGAAUUUCAGGUGUAGCGGUGAAAUGCGUAGAUAUCUGAAGGAACACCAGUGGCGAAGGCGACUCCCUGGACUCAAACUGACGCUGAGGUACGAAAGCGUGGGUAGCAAACAGGAUUAGAUACCCUGGUAGUCCACGCUGUAAACGAUGUCAACUAGCCGUUGGUCCUAUUUACAGGAUUAGUGGCGCAGCUAACGCAUUAAGUUGACCGCCUGGGGAGUACGGCCGCAAG
rnacentral:rRNA from 1 species